GGAAGGGAAGAGAAAGAUCAGAAGGGACACUAAACCACAGCAGACAAGAGUUUUUCAGAAAGGUCCGUCUGAGAGCUUCACUCUUCAUCCAGCCCUUUCUGGAAGGGGAAAAGAGAGGGAGCGAGAGAGAGAAAAAUAACCCUCAGGAUGUAUGAAAAGUUAAAAGACACAAAGACACUCACAUCAAAGAUCUCAAAGCCAGCAAUGUCCAGCACACCAAUGAAGUACUGGCGGGCCUGCUUGGUGUCCAGGGAUUGGUUGAUUCUCACCACCAUCCAGUUGAACAUUUUCUCGUACACUGAUUUGGCCAGUGCACCGAUGGAGUAGUUCACCUGUGAGGAAAGAGACAAGGAGGUAUGAAGCAUUUGGAAACCAUGUGUGAUGUUCUUUUGGUAAAGCGCAGUAUUUGAUUCUGAGAGCGCCACCCAAUGGAGCUGAGAGGCCUAUCUGAUUCCAGAAUCUGGCAAUUACACUGAAACUUUUAUUCUACUGUUUGCUGAGGACAACAGCUACUAGAAUGUACAGGAAGCGGAGAAAAGGGAAGAGAAAGAACAGAAGGGGCACUAAACCACAGCAGACAAGAGUUUUUCAGAAAGGUCCGUCUGAGAGCUUCACUCUUCAUCCAGCCCUUUCUGGAAGGGGAAAAGAGAGAGAGACAGAUAGAGAGAGACAGACAGGGGAAGAAAGAGAGAAAACUGACUCAGCUCCAGCAUAGUUGGCAAAGAGGGUGGCGAGAAGCUUGAGGGAAGACUUCUGAUAGAGCCCGACCACAGUCUCAUUCAGAGGGUCCUUGUUCUUCACCAGCCAGUUUGUGAUGUUGUAAUCUACAGUGCC